rnacentral:rRNA from 1 species
GACGAAGGGGGCUAGCGUUGUUCGGAAUUACUGGGCGUGAAGCGAGUGUAGGUGGUUGUCCAAGUUGGAUGUGAAAGCCUUGAGCUCAACUCAAGAAAUGCAUUCAGGACUGGGCGGCUAGAGGACCGGAGAGGAUAGUGGAAUUCCCGGUGUAGUGGUGAAAUGCGUAGAGAUCGGGAGGAACACCUGUGGCGAAGGCGGCUCGCUGGGCCGGUCCUGACGCUGAAACGCGAAGGCGUGGGAGCGAACGGGG